rnacentral:rRNA from 1 species
UACGUAGGGGGCUAGCGUUGUCCGGAAUCAUUGGGCGUAAAGCGCGUGUAGGCGGUUCGGUAAGUCCGCUGUGAAAGUCGGGGGCUCAACCCUCGGAUGCCGGUGGAUACUGUCGAGCUUGAGUACGGAAGAGGCGAGUGGAAUUCCUGGUGUAGCGGUGAAAUGCGCAGAUAUCAGGAGGAAUACCAAUUGCGAAGGCAGCUCGCUGGGACGUUACUGACGCUGAGACGCGAAAGCGUGGGGAGCAAACAGG